rnacentral:misc_RNA from 1 species
GAUGAAGAACGUAGCGAAAUGCGAUACUUGGUGUGAAUUGCAGAAUCCCGUGAACCAUCGAGUCUUUGAACGCAAGUUGCGCCCGUAGCCAUUAGGCCGAGGGCACGCCUGCCUGGGCGUCACACGUCGUUGCCCCCCCAUCUACUCCUUCGGGAUUGCGGGGGGCGGAUGAUGGCCUCCCGUGCGCCUCGUCGCGCGGUUGGCCUAAAUGCCAAGUCCUCGGCGACGCACGCCACGACAAUCGGUGGUUGCGAAACCUCGGUUGCCCGUCGUGUGCGGUCGUCGCGCAUCGAGGGCUCGAAAAAAUUGCCGGGCUUCGGCUCGACUUUCAACGCGACCCCAGGUCAGGCGGGGUUACCCGCUGAAUUUAAGCAUAUCAAUAAGCGGAGGA